GACGAACGCUGGCGGCGUGCUUAACACAUGCAAGUCGAACGGAAAGGCCCUGCUUGCAGGGUACUCGAGUGGCGAACGGGUGAGUAACACGUGGGUGAUCUGCCCUGCACUUCGGGAUAAGCCUGGGAAACUGGGUCUAAUACCGGAUAGGAGCCAUUUUUAGUGUGAUGGUUGGAAAGUUUUUUCGGUGUAGGAUGAGCUCGCGGCCUAUCAGCUUGUUGGUGGGGUAAUGGCCUACCAAGGCGGCGACGGGUAGCCGGCCUGAGAGGGUGGACGGCCACAUUGGGACUGAGAUACGGCCCAGACUCCUACGGGAGGCAGCAGUGGGGAAUAUUGCACAAUGGGCGCAAGCCUGAUGCAGCGACGCCGCGUGGGGGAUGACGGCCUUCGGGUUGUAAACUCCUUUCGCUAGGGACGAAGCUUUUUGCGACGGUACCUAGAGAAGAAGCACCGGCUAACUACGUG
rnacentral:rRNA from 1 species